rnacentral:rRNA from 1 species
AUGUGGGCGCUCCGGUGGUGGCGACAACUGCGCCAGAGCCAACACGCCAUCCCUCAGCCCGCUUUGCUUGAUGCCAGACUCGCCGUCCGCGUCGGAGAGGCAGCUGCGGGUGCAGGCCUAGAAGGCGCGGGCGAAGAACAGCUUCACCAAGAGGCUGCCCACAUUGAGGCACAAGUUGGAGGGGAAGCAAGCGAGAGUCGAGGCGGAACCAGCGGGCAGUCUAGGUGGCGUGAUAGGUAG